rnacentral:rRNA from 1 species
UUGAACUGAAGAGUUUGAUCCUGGCUCAGAUUGAACGCUGGCGGCAUGCCUUACACAUGCAAGUCGAACGGCAGCACGGGCUUCGGCCUGGUGGCGAGUGGCGAACGGGUGAGUAAUACAUCGGAACAUGUCCUGUAGUGGGGGAUAGCCCGGCGAAAGCCGGAUUAAUACCGCAUACGAUCCACGGAUGAAAGCGGGGGACCUUCGGGCCUCGCGCUAUAGGGUUGGCCGAUGGCUGAUUAGCUAGUUGGUGGGGUAAAGGCCUACCAAGGC